rnacentral:rRNA from 1 species
GGGGGGGGCAAGCGUUUGUUCGGAAUUACUGGGCGUAAAGGGCGUGUAGGCGGUCCCGCAAGUCUUUCGUGAAAUCCCACAGCUCAACUGUGGAACUGCGAGGGAAACUGCAGGACUUGAGUCCGGGAGAGGAGAGUGGAAUUCCCAGUGUAGCGGUGAAAUGCGUAGAUAUUGGGAGGAACACCGGUGGCGAAGGCGGCUCUCUGGACCGGUACUGACGCUGAGGCGCGAAAGCUAGGGGAGCAAACGGGAUUAGAUACCCCGGGUAGUCCUAGCCUUAAACGAUGAGCACUUGGUGUGGCGGGUAUCGACCCCCCCUGCCCGUGCCGAAGCUAACGCAUUAAGUGCUCCGCCUGGGGAGUACGGUCGCAAGGCUG